GCAGAUAUAGUUUAAUGGCAAAAUGUUGGCUUCCCAAGCCGAAGUUGCGGGUUCGAUUCCCGUUAUCUGCUCCA
rnacentral:tRNA from 1 species